AUAUGUAUAGUAUAACUUAUUACAAUUAAUUUCCAAUUAAUAAAUUUAUAUAAAUAAUAUAUAUA
rnacentral:tRNA from 1 species